rnacentral:tRNA from 1 species
GUCUUCGUGGUGUAGUGGUCAGCACGCUCGACGCGUAUUCGAGAGGUCCGUGGUUCAAGUCCCGGCGAGGGCA